AUGGCUGAUGAGCCUAGAGAUCCAGCGCUUCAUGACCCCACAGAGCUAGUAAACCUGAAAACUUUUGAAUGUGAAGGAAAUCAACCUGAGGAUGCUUUAGACCUGCAAAACAGGUCAAAGGGUAUUAGAGGAGUAGAAGCCAAUUAUGCUUUGAAGCUUGCGAACAAUCCUCCAAAGAGAUCUAAGUUAGAUGAACACAAAGUAGCAAUGCUUGGUAAAAAGCGAGCCAGACAAACUGUGAUAAUUAAUGACGAGGAUGCAAAGCAAGCUGGUAUAAUGACAAUAUCAACACCCAGGAGACAAUCUCGUGCAGCUGGUGAAGUAGCUGCAGGAACACAGAACCAGCUGGCCAUCAGGGACCAGAGGCAAUCUGAAAUGAUGGGUCCAGAACGAAGUAAUUCUGCCACCCCAAGUGAUAGAAAUGCAGAUUCCAGUGUUGAUGUUGAAUUGGCAUCUCCGAACUGGUCAAAGAAAAUGAAUGCUGAAAUGCCCCCCUCAGAUGGGUACCAACAAUCUGUACCAAGGCAGGCCACUUUGAGGCAAAGUAUGGAUUCCAAGCAGUUCAAGGGCCGACCACUCUCUUCUCAGAGAGCAGAUGUAACAGGGCAGAACAUGGCAGAUCAGAAACGAGCCAACAAGAGGUCUUUUGUUUCCAAGAAAGAAGCUUCAGCAAAUUAUACACAAUAUCAUGACACAUCUGUUGAACGACUUCUACAGGAAGUGACAAGUGAUAAGUUCUGGCAUAAUCCAGAGGAGUCGGAACUUCAAUCUGUUCCUGGAAGCUUUGAAUCUGCUGAGGAGUACAUUAGAGUUUUUGAGCCUUUGCUUUUUGAGGAAUGCAGAGCUCAGCUACACAGUUCUUAUGAGGAAUCCCUUGAGGCUGUCUCAAGGGAUGCACAUGUAAUGGUGCGCAUUAGAACCGUGGAUAGGCGUGAAAGAGGGUGGUAUGAUGUUCUUGUUCUACCAGCACAUGAAUAUAAGUGGACUUUUAAAGAAGGAGAAGUUGCAGUUUUGUCAUUCCCUCGGCCUGAUUCAGCUGCACAGUCAAGUGAUUCUAAUAGGAAGACUGUUGGUUCAAAUGAAGAUGCCGAGUCAGAGUGUGGACGGCUUGUUGGUAGAGUCCGGCGCCAUAUGCCUAAUGAUACAUGUGAUCCCAUUGGAGCAAUUAUCCGUUUUUAUGCUGGGAACCCUUCUGAUUCUAGCUGUGGGAUUAAUGUUCUGGGGAAACUCCAACCUCAAAGCACCUGGUAUCUAACUGGUCUCGGUUCUCUCGCAACAACACAAAGGGAGUAUAUUGCGUUGCACGCAUUCCGCCGUCUUAAUGUGCAGAUGCAAAAUGCAAUUCUUCAGCCGAGUCCAGAGCACUUCCCCAAGUACCAAGAGCAGCCACCUGCUAUGCCUGACUGCUUCACUCCAAAUUUUUCUUGUCAUCUCCAUCAUACAUUCAAUGGGCCUCAGCUAUCAGCAAUCCAUUGGGCUGCAAUGCAUACAGCUGCUGGCAGAGGCAAUGGAGUAGUGAAGAAACAAGAACCAUGGCCUUUCACAUUGGUACAAGGUCCUCCAGGGACAGGGAAAACUCAUACUGUUUGGGGAAUGCUAAAUGUUAUUCAUCUUGUUCAGUAUCAACAUUACUAUGCUGCUCUGCUAAAAAAACUUGCUCCUGAAAGUUAUGAGCAAGUUGGUGGUAGUGCUAGCAGCACCUCAGAAGCUGUUGCUGCAGGCUCAAUGGAUGAAGUUUUGCAGAGCAUGAAUCAGAACCUGUUUCGCACUCUUCCCAAGCUUUGCCCCAAACCGCGGAUGCUUGUUUGUGCCCCAUCAAAUGCUGCAACAGAUGAGCUGCUUGCUCGUGUUCUAGAUCGUGGUUUCAUAGAUGGUGAGAUGAGGGUCUACCGCCCUGACGUUGCCCGUGUUGGAGUUGAUUCACAGUCCCGUGCUGCACAAGCUGUUUCAGUUGAGCGACGGACGGAACAGCUUUUAAUGAAGGGACGUGAGGAAGUAAUUGGGUGGCUGCAUCAACUAAAAGUCCGUGAACAACAAUUAUCACAAGAGAUAACACUUCUGCAGAGGGAACUUAAUAUGGUUGCAGAGGCUGGUAGAUCUCAGGGUUCGUUUGGAGUAGAUCCAGACAUGCUUGCUCAAAGGGAUCGUAACCGUGAUAUACUGCUUCAGAAACUUGCUGCUUCUGUGGAAAGCAGGGAUAAAGUACUGGUUGAGAUGUCACGCCUGCUGAUAUCAGAAAGCAGGUUCCGUGUUGGCAGAAACUUCAAUCUGGAAGAUGCUAGGGCUAGUCUGGAAGCUAGUUUUGCCAGUGAAGCGGAAAUUGUUUUUACUACAGUAUCAAGCAGUGGUCGCAAGUUAUUCUCCGCCCUUAAUCAUGGCUUUGAUAUGGUUGUUAUUGAUGAGGCUGCUCAGGCCAGUGAAGUAGGAGUCCUCCCUCCACUUUCACUUGGUGCAGCUAGAUGUGUCUUGGUUGGUGAUCCACAGCAGCUCCCUGCCACUGUUAUUAGCAAAGCAGCAGGAACUUUACUCUACAGCAGGAGUCUUUUUGAGAGGUUUCAGCAAGCUGGUUGCCCUACCAUUUUGCUGUCAGUGCAAUAUCGGAUGCAUCCCCAGAUCCGUGAAUUUCCAUCAAGAUACUUUUACCAAGGCCGCCUUACAGAUAGUGAAAGUAUCGCCAACUUGCCCGAUGAGGCAUUCUAUAAAGAUGCAUUAAUGACACCUUACAUUUUCUAUGACAUCUCGCAUGGGCGUGAGUCCCAUAGAGGCGGGUCAUCUUCAUACCAGAAUGUCCAUGAAGCACAGUUUGCAUUGUGUUUGUAUGAGCAUCUUCAGAAGUUCCUGAGAGCUAAUGGUGGCAAGAAAGCAUCUGUUGGUAUAAUCACUCCUUAUAAGUUGCAGUUGAAGUGUCUUCAGCGGGAAUUUGCGGAGGUUAUGAAUACCGAGGAAGGGAAAGAUAUCUACAUAAACACAGUUGAUGCUUUUCAAGGCCAGGAGCGUGAUGUGAUUAUUAUGUCAUGUGUCCGUGCCUCAAACCACGGUGUCGGUUUUGUUGCAGAUAUACGUCGUAUGAAUGUUGCUCUUACUCGAGCUAGGAGAGCUCUAUGGGUUAUUGGUAAUGCCAAUGCCCUCAUGCAGUCAGAGGAUUGGGCGGCACUGGUAGCAGAUGCAAAGGCGAGGAAAUGUUUCAUGGACUUGAGUAGCAUCCCGAGUGACUUCCUAGCUAUGAACAAGUUUUCAAACGCCCGGGGCCUGAAUUCUUCAAGCAGCACAAGGUACAUGAGGACUAGUGGACCGAGACCGACGCAUUUCGACAUGCUUCCGGCACCAAGGAUGGGUAUGACGGCCGGUGAGGAUGGCCAUCCCAAUUCUGUUGCGAGAAAUGGUAGUUACCGGAAUCUGUCCAAUGAUGUGGGGCAUCCUGGUGAUAGGUCUAGAGAUAAUUUGCAGUUUGGGAGGAUCAGGGGGCCGAAUCCGUCCAAUGAUCCGAGGAGACAAGCCUAA
rnacentral:rRNA from 1 species